rnacentral:rRNA from 1 species
CCCCUAUGGCCCGAUCGCCUUGAGUUGAUCAUGGCUCAGAAUGAACGCUGGCGGCGUGCUUUACACAUGCAAGUCGAGCGAGGCGGGGGGCAACUCCCAGUCGAGCGGCGAACGGGUGAGUAACGCGUGGAUAACCUGCCCUGAGGUGGGGAAUAACCCGGGGAAACUCGGGCUAAUACCGCAUGAUACCUAGCGGUCAAAGAGGGGUCGUAAGAUCUCUUGCCACAGGAGGGGUCCGCGUUCGAUUAGCUAGUUGGUAGGGUAAAGGCCUACCAAGGCGACGAUCGAUAGCCGGCCUGAGAGGGUGAUCGGCCACACUGGAACUGAGACACGGUCCAGACUCCUACGGGAGGCAGCAGUGGGGAAUUUUGCGCAAUGGGCUAACGCCUGACGCAGCAACGCCGCGUGGAGGAUGAAGGUCUUUGGAUUGUAAACUCCUGUCAGCAGGGAAAAAGCGACUGCACCUAAUACGUGUGGGAGUUGAUUGUACCUGCAGAGGAAGCCCCGGCUAACUCUGUGCCAGCAGCCGCGGUAAUACAGAGGGGGCAAGCGUUAUUCGGAAUUAUUGGGCGUAAAGGGCGCGUAGGCGGCUUUGNCAGUGACGGGUGAAAUCCCUCGGCUUAACCGAGGAACUGCCUGUCAGACUGU